rnacentral:lncRNA from 1 species
UUUUUUUUUUUUUUUUUAAGAUCUUUAUUUACGAGAGACACACAGAGAGAGAGAGAGGGAGGCAGAAGCACAGGCAGAGGGAGAAGCAGGCUCCCCACAGGAAGCCCAAUGUGGGACUCGAUCCCAGGACCCCGGGAUCACGCCCUGAGCUGAAGGCAGAUGCUCAACCGCUAAGCCACCCAGGGAUCCCAGAUUCAAGACAUUCUUGGCGGGAGCACCUGCUUUCCCAAAUAUCACGACUUACGAGCAGACCCCAGGAAGUAAGACCUGGGUGAAGGGUGCAGAGAUAGGCAGAUGCCAUAUCCUCCGCCGCUGCAACCCCACGAAUGUCCUGUCUCGCCAGGUCUGGAGCUCAGGAUGGCAGCACAGACCUCACUGGUCAGAUCCAGGUGCACAGGCUUCAGUCCUGUCGGGAAGUGCAAGGGCACCAUCUGUUGUCUUGCCCUCUCCAGACCCUGGAGGGCAGCCACAUUCCGUGGCACUCUGUGCCCCACCUUGUUGCCACAUCUCCUCUGAUCGCACAUCGGAGGACAUCCUGGGCUCCCCAAACAAGCGGGGUCACUUCCCGUCUCAAGGUCAGCUGACAGGCAAGCCCAGUCCCUUCCACAGCCUGACUCCCUUCGCCAUCAACCGAGCACAGUCAUGCACAGGUUCUGGGGAUGAGGCCGUGGACGCCUGUGGGGCCAUCCCUCUGUCUGACAUGUCACAGCGGGAGGCUGGGGGCGGAGGGGGUGUCUAAAGGGCUCAGGGCCAUCAGGCCUCUACAGACACACGGAACCAGCUGCUGCCUCACACUCGGCCACAGAGGCCCGUGCCAGGUACAAAGGCCCAAACACAGAAGCCCAGGGUCCAGGUGUGAGAAGUCACUUCCCAAACAGCUCCAUAAACUCAUGGUAGCUCCAGAAAGAACUAUGAUCAUUGGGCCAAAUAAGCCUGAAUGACAUCUGUUUAUCACGAUGCCAAUAGGACCAUAGAAAGCCACAGAAUGAGCCAUUCAUAUUAUCUCUUCUGUAUUAACCUUCAAAACCUUUUCUGCUGUAAAUAAAUUAGAAAAAGACAGACAAUCCAGCAGAAAAAUAAGCAAAAAAACUUGGGACAGCUUACAAAAGAGGAAAACCGAAGUGACCAACAUGGAGACACAGGGACAAGACAUGGGGACAUGGGGACACGGAGACAUGGGGUCGUGGAGACACGGGGACACAGGGACACGGGGACACACUCUCCCCCACUGAGCAGGCAGAUGCUCCAUAGAAGCCCUGAGAGAUGGGGGUGUGCUCCCAACGCCAACAGUUGCAGUAAAAAAGCCACGAUUUGGCCUAUGUUCAACUUGCGUCAUCAAAGAUUCCUGUUUAGGUUAUUUUAAAAAUUUCUAUGAAUUAAGAAAAAAGCACCAAGCAAUGAAACCAAUCUCCUGGAACAGUGGGCGCAGGCUGGGAGGAUGCCCCCAAGGAGCACGCACGUGUGACCGCACACACCCGGGACGAGGCUCCCACCCCGAAGCCGGAUCACGGGCCCCCCACGAGCCCCUGAGCUGUACACAGGCUCUGGGCACCCAGAACAGGGUGAAGUCCUGCCCUCGACCUGCCCUGAGACACCAGAGCCCAUGGGCACAUCUCCCUCCCUGUCCCUGCACCGUCUGCCCAGAGCAUCCCACCCUCCCCAUGGGCCUCAAAUGCAUUCGCCGCGUCUCCCCCAACAUUUGAGCAUCUCCCAAGUCACGACUGUCUGAGGACCAGUGGGGCUUCUUUCCCGGAGACUUGAGGCCUCGGUGCAUCUGGAGACCAUGGACGUCCUCACCAUCCCCGCCGCUCCGCCAGCACAGGACCCGGUGCCCCUCGUGUGACAUCCAAGCCCGCAGACACCCGGGGCGCCGUGAGCCGUGCCCCUCGGCCCUCAGCGCCCAACUAUUCACACAUCUCAUACUUUCCGUGAAACUCUUAGUUUCUAAAUAAACAAAAAUCACAUUUAAUUGUCUGAAAAGCAGGGAUUGUUUUAUUUAACGAAUGCACUCCUAGUCCAGGUAAGAACAGAAUUCCCAGUAGGCAGGAGCACCCAGCAUCCCCUGCAGGGCGGCGCGGGCCCUGGGAGAGCUGCCCACCCUCGUGGGGAACCUGGCAUCCCUGGCUUCACAUUUCAGGGUGAGGCCCUCUGCCUGCCUUGACCCAAGUGACAGACGAGCAGCCUCCUCGCGGCCUCUGAACCAGCUCUGUGCUAACAGCUUUUGUUGGAGAGCGAACAUGUCAGGAUGGCAGCAAAUGACUGCUAAUAAUCCCUCAGGCUGAAAAGGCAGAUUCACAUUUAAAGAACAGAACCUCCAGCACCAAUCUCCAGAUGCUCAACACAGGGCGCCCAGACAUCUGCGAGGGGAGCAGGUGGGCGAGGCAGCGUCACCCUGAUGGUGCAGGUGGGCGUCCACAGGCCUGCUCCGCGGCGUACAGGUGAUGGGGCUGCCUUCACAACCACGUGCCACCCGUCCUGAGGAGCUGACAUGCCCGGGCCCUGGCUGUUUACACCUUCAGCACCACCCCCCACCGUCCAUCCCGCCCUCCAGUCCCCUGAGGAUGCUCAUCACCGGAAUUAAGGCCAGUUGUUCACCGGCUGCUGCCUGGGCCUGAUGCCGUGCUGAGCCCUCAGUGGAGGUCAGCGGGGGUCAGCGGGGAUCAGCAACCAGAACAGCCCACACUGUCGAGACGCCACCUGCCUGGUCAGCACCUGAGGUCCCUGAGACUGGCCUGUGUACUCCCUGGCCCUGUGCAGAGCCCAUCUGGGAGCUUCUCCUGGGCAUUCAGAUCCCCUGUGGCCCAGCAGGGGCCUAUUUGGCCGGGCAGUCCCAUGCGCUCCCAAAGACCGUCCACCUCAUCCUCCUGCCACCCUGAUUAUUCCCACCUUGAAGGCACCUGAUACCCUCCCAUGGGCCGGCCUCGUGUGGCCUACGUAAGGCUAGGGGUACUUAGGGCCCCGCCGAGCACACGCCCUUCCCUCCCCGGCCUGGGGGACCCUGGUCCACGUCUGAUAUCAGCCCCACAAGGACCAGGGCAGUGGUUCUGCUCAGCUGCUGUCCCAGGCUCCUGCGCGCCGGUCCCCACAGGGUUCGGUGUGGCCGUGUAGGCCUUGAGCCUCCCCACCCAGCAGUCUCAGGGUCGCAGGGGUCACUCACAUGGCCUCCUGGACAACAUCCAUCUGGGGGCAGAAGGGCCAGCUCGAGCCACCUCUGCUGACUAUGCCCAUCCAGGGCUGGGGGCCCAACCCGGGCACCAACAGCCAGGGGAGCAUGUCCUCCACGACCCCUCGCCCAGGUGCUCAUUGCCCAGCCCUGGUCCCCAGCCUGGUCCCCGCUCUUGGCUCCUCGGGACACCGCACUUCGCACCAGCCGAGGAACGGCCCGUGUGACCCCGAGGGAAAGACGCAUUGUGCCCCAACCCGCACGUGGCCUCCGUGAUGCCCGCACAUCCCUGUGAUGUUCCUUGGGUCAGUGUGUGCCCAAGGAACGCACGCUCUCCUGGACAAGGAACAGACUGCCUGGUAAACUC